AGGGAACGUUGGCGGCGUGCCUAACACAUGCAAGUCGUGGGGCAGCAGGCUACUGUCUUUUGGCAGUAGUGCUGGCGACCGGCAAACGGGUGAGUAACACGUAGCUUACCUACCCAUAGGUUGGGGAUAACAUCCCGAAAGGGGUGCUAAUACCCAAUAAUGAGGAGACUCCAAAGCCCUUAUGGGCGCCUAUGGAUGGGGCUGCGUCCCAUCAGCUAGUUGGUGAGGUAAUGGCUCACCAAGGCUACGACGGGUAACCGGUCUGAGAGGAUGACCGGUCACAGCGGGACUGAGACACGGCCCGCACCCCUACGGGGGGCAGCAGUGGGGAAUAUUGGGCAAUGGCCGAAAGGCUGACCCAGCAACGCCGCGUGGUGGAUGAAGCCCUUCGGGGUGUAAACACCUUUUCUGGGGGAAGAUAAUGACGGUACCCCAGGAAUAAGGGACGGCUAACUACGUGCCAGCAGCCGCGGUAAUACGUAG
rnacentral:rRNA from 1 species